rnacentral:rRNA from 1 species
AUUGAACGCUGGCGGCAGGCCUAACACAUGCAAGUCGAGCGGAUGAAGGGAGCUUGCUCCUGGAUUCAGCGGCGGACGGGUGAGUAAUGCCUAGGAAUCUGCCUGGUAGUGGGGGAUAACGUCCGGAAACGGGCGCUAAUACCGCAUACGUCCUGAGGGAGAAAGUGGGGGAUCUUCGGACCUCACGCUAUCAGAUGAGCCUAGGUCGGAUUAGCUAGUUGGUGGGGUAAAGGCCUACCAAGGCGACGAUCCGCAACUGGUCUGAGAGGAUGAUCAGUCACACUGGAACUGAGACACGGUCCAGACUCCUGCGGGAGGCAGCAGUGGGGAAUAUUGGACAAUGGGCGAAAGCCUGAUCCAGCCAUGCCGCGUGUGUGAAGAAGGUCUUCGGAUUGUAAAGCACUUUAAGUUGGGAGGAAGGGCAGUAAGUUAAUACCUUGCUGUUUUGACGUUACCAACAGAAUAAGCACCGGCUAACUUCGUG